UACAGAGGUCUCAAGCGUUGUUCGGAUUCAUUGGGCGUAAAGGGUGCGUAGGUGGCGCUGUAAGUCGGGUGUGAAAUCCUGAGGCUUAACCUCGGAACUGCAUUCGAUACUGCGGCGCUUGAGGACUGGAGAGGAGACUGGAAUUCAUGGUGUAGCAGUGAAAUGCGUAGAGAUCAUGAGGAAGACCAGUGGCGAAGGCGGGUCUCUGGACAGGUCCUGACACUGAGGCACGAAGGCCAGGGGAGCAAACGGG
rnacentral:rRNA from 1 species